UAGAGUUUGAUCCUGGCUCAGAUUGAACGCUGGCGGCAGGCCUAACACAUGCAAGUCGAGCGGUAACACAGAGGAGCUUGCUCCUUGGGUGACGAGCGGCGGACGGGUGAGUAAUGCCUGGGGAUCUGCCCGAUAGAGGGGGAUAACUACGGGAAACUGUAGCUAAUACCGCAUAAUGUCUACGGACCAAAGUGGGGGCUCUUCGGACCUCAUGCUAUCGGAUGAACCCAGGUGGGAUUAGCUAGUUGGUGAGGUAAUGGCUCACCAAGGCGACGAUCUCUAACUGGUUUGAGAGAAUGACCAGUCACACUGGAACUGAGACACGGUCCAGACUCCUACGGGAGGCAGCAGUGGGGAAUAUUGCACCCUGCGCGCCAGCCUGAUGCAGCCAUGCCGCGUGUGUGAAGAAGGCCUUCGAGUUGUAAAGCACUUUCAGCGGGGAGGAAGGGUCACUAGUUAAUACCUAGUGGCAUUGACGUUACUCGCAGAAGAAGCACCGGCUAACUCCGUGCCAGCAGCCGCGGUAAUACGGAGGGUGCAAGCGUUAAUCGGAAUUACUGGGCGUAAAGCGCACGCAGGCGGUUUGUUAAGUCAGAUGUGAAAUCCCCGAGCUCAACUUGGGAACUGCAUUUUGGAACUGGCAAGCUAGAGUCUUGUAGAGGGGGGUAGAAUUCCAGGUGUAGCGGUGAAAUGCGUAGAGAUAAGGAGGAAUACCGGUGGCGAAGGCGGCCCCCUGGACAAAGACUGACGCUCAGCUGCGAAAGCGUGGGGAGCAAAAAAGGACUAGAUACCCUGGUAGUCCACGCUGU
rnacentral:rRNA from 1 species